UGGGUAAGGGUGGACAAGUACGCUAAAGAGACAGGAAACUACACACAGGCAAUUACACAUAACACACAGACUCAAAGUGAUAAGAGAAACACACGCUAACAUUAACACAAGCAGGGAGUACAUUCUAAAAUGGAACAUUAAACACAGAAUUUAACAUUAACAUUUUCACUAGCGCACACGCUCAGCAUUAUGGGGCGAAACAACAUCACACACACACACACGAAAGUGCACAACCCCCCCCUUGCACGCACGCGACAAUAAAAUCCCGAAACAGCAUACACUCUCUCACACACACGCGCGCACUUUCUCUCACAGUCACAUUUGACACCAACAGUACGACUCACAGAACUCUACUAAAUCACCAUUUCUGCACGGGUUAUUGAAGUGGGCUGUGACAAGGUCACCUCAUUAACUCCUGUGUUUCCGUGGUCAUCUCUGCAAAAGCAGCGCUCCUCAUCAACACCCUUGUGUGCCGCCUCUCUGGUCUUUACAGUGGCUCGGCUACAGGUCUCUCUUAUUCAGGGUCAGCACACUCAACCACAUUCAGCUGUUUAUUCACCAUGCACCACAUAUGGAGUGUAAGCACUCUGAAGAAGGCAUUAGCAAGUCCAUCCUCAUUCCCUGUUGUGAGCACUGUUUUUAUGUAUUUAUUUGCCUUUAUUUUGUCUCUCUCUUCCAUGCUACGGCCACAUAAACCCCUGAUCCCAGAUCAGAGAUGCCCGCUGUCAUAAGUUCACAUCUCGGGCCGCAUCUGCAUUCGUACGGUGGCCUGUGAGGUUGGCACGGGGUUCAGUGCUAUCCCUCCCCACCGCCAGCACUGCAACUUAACUCCGGGAUGUCUCGAAAGCGGCAAAGAUUUGAAAUGGAUAUGGCGAGGCAUGAUCUUCAGUCGGAGAUCCACUCAGUGAAUGAUCACAUUAUGGGCCCUGCAAUGGCGUGGGGUUCAGGAAAGCUAUGCGGCAGUCGGGGGCAAAGAAAUGAACAAGUGUUUCAUCUGUCACUUUCUCAAUAAAGCGCUCAAUAAAAGUGGGAAAUUGAUGAUGUUACCGGCUGUAUUACAUCUGAGGGCUUCACAAUGAGAAAGAAAGAGAGAGAGAGAGAGUGAAAGAGAGAGCGAAAGAGAGAGAGAGAGAGAGAGGACAAAUGAAGGGAGCAGUUUCCAUCAUUUGUUUUUCUUUUUUUCUUCUUGUGGCAUUAGCAAGGGGUCAAAGUGAGGUUAAUAUCCAGACAUAAAUCAUACUCGUAA
ensembl:lncRNA